AGGGCUGUGGCUCAGUGGUAGAGCAUCUGCUUUGCAUGCAGAAGGUCCCAGGUUCAAUCCCUGGCAUUUCCA